rnacentral:rRNA from 1 species
CAGCACCGCGGUAAUACGUAGGGUGCGGGCGUUAAUCGGAAUUACUGGGCGUAAAGCGUGCGCAGGCGGUUCGUUAAGACAGAUGUGAAAUCCCCGGGCUUAACCUGGGAACCGCAUUUGUGACUGGCGAGCUAGAGUGUGGCAGAGGGGGGUAGAAUUCCACGUGUAGCAGUGAAAUGCGUAGAGAUGUGGAGGAAUACCGAUGGCGAAGGCAGCCCCCUGGGAUAACACUGACGCUCAUGCACGAAAGCGUGGGGAGCAAACAGGAUUAGAUACCCCUGUAGUCCCUGUCUCUUAUACC